CGAAAUCGUGCUCUCCUUCUCUCCUCAUGUCGGUUCCUCUUCUUACCAUUGAAGUCCUCCCUUCACCGUCGGUUUCUCCCCUCGCCGUCAACCUUCUCCUCUGCUCGCUGAAGCUGCCGCCGUUAGGAGUGGUGGACGCUGAAUGAUUUCUUUUCUCUUCCUCGGUUGCUGUCGUGGGAGUUCGGUAGUGAUGGAGACUCAUGGUUUAGAUAAGUUUCAUAUUGUAUCUCUUCUUCCUCUAGUUUUUGGCGUGCUCACCCUUGAAAGGGAGGUGAUAGCCCCGUAUGCAUGCCAACGCACGUGAAAUGGAGGGAUGGAUGUUCGUGAGCAUCGGACCCAUGCUUGUUUCGUGGGCUUAAUGCCUGCACUUGUUUCGUGGCUUCUAACCGUGCUUGAUUAUUUUGUUGCUUUAAGCUGCACUUGCUGGUUAUUUAUCCUCAUGAACUAUGUGUUUACGCUUGUUAUUUGUUCUAAUAAAACCCUCCUAAAAUUAAAUUAAAAAAUAAUCAUUUUUAUAU